UGUUUGUUUGACAGAGUUUUGUUCUCUUUGCCCAGGCUGGAGUGCAAUGGCGCCAUCUUGGCUCAUCACAAGCUCCGCCUCCCCGGAUGGAGCGAUUCUCCGGCCUCAGCCUCCCAAGUAGCUGGGAUUACAGGCAUGCGCCACCAAGCCCAGGUUUUUGUAUUUUUAGUGAAGACACACCAAUUUUGUAUUUUUUUUUAUUAUUUAAGACCUUUAUUAACAGGUGCUUGCAGUUUGUUGACUUUUUUGAAAAAAUCAAGUUGUAAACUUUUACUACAAAUUAAAAAUGAAGUUCUUAAAAAUCUCAACUUGACCAGAUAUGAAACAAUUUAAAAACCUUUAAAGGCGUAUUGAGAAAAACCAGGCUUUUUAAAAAAACACAUUUGUUAUUACCAAAAAGAGACAUCUUUAGGUAAAAAUAAUAAAAACCCCAUGCUGCAUAGAUAAUGCAGAUAGUUCUAUUUAUCUGGUCAACAGGCAAAAGCAAGCACUGGAGGUCUUCAGCUCCAAUCUUUUGUUCAUUUCUUAUUGCUGGAAUUUCUUAUUUCUUCUUGUUGGAUGACUAAACCGGAUGAUGGUAGAGAUGGUAAGCCGGCAUUUACUCAGCCCCGCCCUGCUCAGCCUCGGGAGCAGACGAAUUCUCAGCUGGUGGAUCAGCUACUUUUGUCUCUUUGCCAUCUUGUGGUUUAGGGUUUUCUGGGCGUGUGCGUUGGUAAUUGAAGUUGCGGCGGUACCGACGUUGAGGUGGCUGCUGACCUUGGGUCUCAUCUCCUUGAUUUUCUUUAUCCUCUUUAUUGCCGUCCUCUCUACGCUGUCUUUGGCGAGGAGGGCCCCUGUGGAAUCGUGGUCUAUAUCCCCGAUACAUAUUCUGCCUCACUGGUCUGCCUUGUUCUCCUGCACCCUGGUUGUCAGCACCCUUUUCUCCUUCAACAACAUCAAACUCCACAGUCUCUCCAUCUCCUACACUGCGAAGGUACUUCCUGGGGUUAUUCUUCUUUAUGGCAGUCUGGUGUACAAAUACAUCUUCCUUGGUGUCAUUCCUGUUGAUGAAACCAUAUCCGUUCCUUACAUUGAACCAUUUUACUGUUCACAAAACUUUUUGUCCCCGCCGGCAGGCGCCGCCAAUGUGAGGCAACCCGGGCCACCACUCCCUGCGCCGCUGCUCAUAGUACCAGGCUUGGUGUCAGCGGCGCUGAGGGCGGGGGCAGUGGGCGGCUGCUGGGUCUCAGCCUCGCUGCUCAUGGUUGCAGUGAUGGUGACUGGGGCUGGCUGCAGCAGCUACGGCUCCUCCCGGGAUGUGAUGGUAACUAGGCCAGCAGCGGCGGCGGUGGGGCUGCUCAGGGCUCUCUGGGGUCUUCUCUCUGCUCCCGCUACCGAUCGAACUCCAAUUUUGUAUUUUUUAGUGUGACAGGGUUUCUCCGUGUUUGGUCAGGCUGGUCUCGAACUCCCAACCUCAAAUGAUCUGCCCUUUUCGGCCUCCCAAAGUGCCGGGAUUACAGGUGUAAGCCACUGCACCCUGCUAUCCUUUUUAUAUUUUUAAUUUUAAUUUUUCAUUUUUUUCUUUUCCCUCUUUUUUCAGAGAUGAGGUCUCACUGUGUUGGCCAGGCUGGAGUUCAGUGGCUAUUCACAGGUGUGAUUGAUCCCACUGCUGAUCAGCACGGGAGUUUUGUCCUGCUCCGUUUCCAGAAGGGACGGUUCACUCCUUCUUAGUCAACCUGGUGGUCCCCUGCUCCCAGAUGGCCACCAUCUUGAUGCCUAACUUAGUGUGAAUACCUGAUCAGCAUAGCACACUGCAGCCCAGAACUCCUGGGCUCCAGUGAUCCUCCUGCCUCAGCCUCCUGAGUGGCUGGACUGCAGGUAUGCUCCACCACACCUACCUAACCAUUUUUUAAUGAAAAAAAAAAAAAAAAGUGUAGUUUUCUCCAUUUUUUUCAUUCAAAAGUCUUUUUUUUUUUUUUUGAGACGGAGUUUCGCUGUUGUUACCCAGACUGGAGUGCAAUGGCACGAUAUCAGCUCACCGCAACCUCCGCCUUCUGGGUUCAAGCAAUUCUCCUGCCUCAGCCUCCUGAGUAGCUGGGCCUACAGGCACACACCACCAUGCCCAGCUAAUUUUUGUAUUUUU
rnacentral:lncRNA from 1 species